rnacentral:rRNA from 1 species
ACGUAGGGGGCAAGCGUUGAUCGGAAUCACUGGGCUUACAGCGCGUGCAGGCGGUGCGAUAAGUCGUGCGUGAAAGCUCCCAGGCUUAACCGGGAGAGGACGGGCGAGACUGUCGGACUAGAGGCAGGUAGAGGCAAGUGGAAUUCCGGGUGGAGUGGUGAAAUGCGUAGAGAUCCGGAGGAACCCCAGUGGCGAAGGCGACCUGCUCGGCCUUGCCUGACGCUCAGACGCGAAAGCAUGGGGAGCGAACGG